GAGGAAUCUUGCGCAAUGGGGGAAACCCUGACGCAGCAACGCCGCGUGAGUGAGGAAGGUCUUCGGAUCGUAAAGCUCUGUCAGGUGGGAAGAAACGCAUGGGAGUUAAUAGCUCCCAUGCUUGACGGUACCGCCAGAGGAAGCACCGGCUAACUCCGUGCCAGCAGCCGCGGUAAUACGGGGGGUGCAAGCGUUGUUCGGAAUUAUUGGGCGUAAAGAGCGUGUAGGCGGCUGGAUAAGUCAGAUGUGAAAGCCCUGGGCUUAACUCAGGAAGUGCAUUUGAAACUGUUCAGCUGGAGUAAGGGAGAGGAAAGUGGAAUUCCUGGUGUAGAGGUGAAAUUCGUAGAUAUCAGGAGGAACACCUGUGGCGAAGGCGACUUUCUGGCCCUAUACUGACGCUGAGACGCGAGAGCGUGGGUAGCAAAC
rnacentral:rRNA from 1 species